GCAAAACGCGAAGAACCUUACCUGGUCUUGACAUAGUAAGAACUUUCCAGAGAUGGAUUGGUGCCUUCGGGAACUUACAUACAGGUGCUGCAUGGCUGUCGUCAGCUCGUGUCGUGAGAUGUUGGGUUAAGUCCCGCAACGAGCGCAACCCUUUUCCUUAUUUGCCAGCGGGUUAAGCCGGGAACUUUAAGGAUACUGCCAGUGACAAACUGGAGGAAGGCGGGGACGACGUCAAGUCAUCAUGGCCCUUACGACCAGGGCUACACACGUGCUACAAUGGCCGGUACAAAGGGUUGCUACCUAGCGAUAGGAUGCUAAUCUACAAAAAGCCGAUCGUAGUCCGGAUUGGAGUCUGCAACUCGACUCCCAUGAAGUCGGAAUCGCUAGUAAUCGCGGAUCAGAAUGCCGCGGUGAAUACGUUCCCGGGUCUUGUACACACCG
rnacentral:rRNA from 1 species